UUUUGUACUACUCGCUACCAUUGCUCUUAAUACUACGUCAUCUUACUGCAUUCUACAUGCACCCUGAAGGGUGCUUUUUGCGUCGUAUCUGAUGCUCACAGCCACUGCCCAAGCGUCUGUAUUUUACAAGUUCGGCAUGAGAACGGGUUGGUCAGGCGUAUUGGUUGUUUGUGCU